rnacentral:rRNA from 1 species
AGUGAACGCUGGCGGUAGGCCUAACACAUGCAAGUCGAACGGCAGCACAGUAAGAGCUUGCUCUUACGGGUGGCGAGUGGCGGACGGGUGAGGAAUACAUCGGAAUCUACUUUUUCGUGGGGGAUAACGUAGGGAAACUUACGCUAAUACCGCAUACGACCUACGGGUGAAAGCAGUGGAUCUUCGCACCUUGCGCGAUUGAAUGAGCCGAUGUCGGAUUAGCUAGUUGGCGGGGUAAAGGCCCACCAAGGCGACGAUCCGUAGCUGGUCUGAGAGGAUGAUCAGCCACACUGGAACUGAGACACGGUCCAGACUACUACGGGAGGCAGCAGUGGGGAAUAUUGGACAAUGGGCGCAAGCCUGAUCCAGCCAUACCGCGUGGGUGAAGAAGGCCUUCGGGUUGUAAAGCCCUUUUGUUGGGAAAGAAAAGCAGCAGGUUAAUACCCCGCUGUUCUGACGGUACCCAAAGAAUAAGCACCGGCUAACUUCGUG